rnacentral:rRNA from 1 species
AUUGAACGCUGGCGGCAGGCCUAACACAUGCAAGUCGAGCGGAGCGGCGGACGGGUGAGUAAUGCCUAGGAAUCUGCCUGGUAGUGGGGGAUAACGUCCGGAAACGGGCGCUAAUACCGCAUACUAUCAGAUGAGCCUAGGUCGGAUUAGCUAGGUGGUGGGGUAACGGCCUACCAGGGCGACGAUCCGUAACUGGUCUGAGAGGAUGAUCAGUCACACUGGAACUGAGACACGGUCCAGACUCCUACGGGAGGCAGCAGUGGGGAAUAGUGCACAAUGGGCGCAAGCCGGAGGCAGCCAUGCCGCGUGUGUGAAGAAGGCCUUCGGGUUGUAAAGCACUUUCAGCGGGGAGGCGUUACCCGCAGAAGAAGCACCGGCUAACUCCGUGCCAGCCGCCGCGGUAAUAC